GGUUGGUGGCUGAGACAACUUUGUUUUGUAGAGGUCAGGGAACAUCCCUUGGGGAUAUCUGGUGCACAGCUAAGCUCGGGACCCAGGACUGUCCUAGGACAGUUGAAGGCUGAGUGGUCUGUAUUUUCUCCUACUUUCCUGGGAGGACAAGCAUUGACCUGGGGACUGAUACCUCAUGGUGCUGCCUGCCUCCAAGCCUGUGUCUAACAGUGACCUCCUUUCUGCCACUGGAAAGGUGACAGAGGAGCUCAGGAUCUGAAGGCAAAGGAGCAGUGAGCCCUGGAAGGAGAUAAUCUGGAAGGAACACAGCUGAUCAAGAGCUGGGAGAUGAGGGCGAACCAGGAAACUGCAAGUUGCUGCAGCCAGAGAUCUCCAAACACCAAGGUCUCUACGAAGGAGAAGAGGGUUAGCAUGGGCUUCCCUGUCCCACCUAACCCGAGGACAGUGACACAACGCUUCGACACUCAAGGGAUUUUAUUUCUUUAUUAUUAACAAGUUCAUGGGAGUCAGCUUGAACUGGCCUCAUAAUGGGACCCAGGGGACAACAAGACCCAGAUGGGCUGUGUUGUCAAGUUUGAAAAAAUAAUAAUCGUUUUAACAUAAAUGGAAGAAACACUGAAACAGCUUAA